GGGAGGAGGACUGGUGCCUCAGCUGGAAGGUAGCACCUUGGACAGAGCAGUGCUGGGGAAGAAACAAAACGAGUGGAUGAGGAAGAAAGAGAAAAAUCCCCAUGGUCCCAAGAUGGAGGACACAAAGACAAACGGAGGGGGCAGACUGAAGCCUACAAAGGGAAUUCUGACACUCAACUCCUUUGCUUCCUUGUGUCUUGCUAGGCAGAGCAAUAAUACCAACUGUUCCUGUCUGCCUCCCCAAUAGGAUGGGGCAGAGAGCCAUAUGCAAUAAGUCCAUUUUAUUACAAGAGAAGAAAUAGGGUAUUUCUAAUAAUUAAUGCAGCAGAGAAAAAGCAUAUUGGCUUUCUUCCAAACCCUUUGUUAGAUGUCCUAACAGUCAGCAUUUGGGGAAAGCACUUUUUCACAGACUGUAAUUUAAAAUCAUCAUCUAGAUUGAGGUAAAUAAUAUACCUAGCUCUAUCUGAUCCUACUUAUAAAUAAUCCUGUACUUGUACUGUACAGACAGGCCUGUGCCCACUUUUGUUGAGACCCCUUCAUUCCCAAAAUGUGUUAAUGGAUUAAUGUAAUUUUCCUUCAAUUGAAGGAUUCCAAUGAGUCAAUUUCCUCUCCUCCUUCUACAGCCUUCUUUUCUAAGGGAAGACUCUGGAUGUUUCUCCUACCGCCAAAAUUCAUUAGUACUGUUUCAUUCCCUUAAUAAACAAUUAUUUAAAAAGUGACAAAAUAUGCUUAGUCCCCACCAGCAGCAAACAUGCUGCCUAUAGGUUAUCACUACAUCUUGGUCCCUGCUUAAGAGAAUCUCACUCCUUGAAGAUAAUAAAGUUAUAUUUUUUCCCAAAAUUCUAUGCCACAGUGUCUGUAAAAUGUACUUUAAGUUAUCCAAGCAAAAGAGUGCACUCAAAAGUCUCUUUUUUUAAUCAACUCAAAAAAAAGGCCAAAUGCUAAUUCAGAUGUUACAAAAAAUAUUUACUCCCAGACUCAGAUCCUUCAUGCCAAAUUUCAGCACAAUAAAUUUAACUGUGCAAGCUAUACAUUUCUGAAAUGAGGUAAUAGACAUACCAACAAGGCUUAGCUAUAGCAAUCUGAGUGAUGACACUAAUAUAUUUUCAUAUUAUACACAUUG